CAGAUUGUUUAUAUUUUUUCUGCUUUAUGUGCUUUUGCUAUAGAACUUUUUUUAUUAUUGAACUGCUGUGAAGGGAAUACUCACUUAAUGUCAUUUUUUGGUUUGGAUUUUAUCAUAUCGUCCCUAUUUACAUGUAUUGAUAAUACUGUUCAUUAGUCAUUGGGGGAUCUGAAUUCAGACUUACCAAUCACUUAAAGACAUUCUUCCACUAUAUUGAUUUGAUUCCUGGUAGAUCAGAUAUUACGUAAGGCUAAAAGACUACCUCUUUCAAAGUCAUACAAAAUUUACAAUGUACUUGUAAAUUUUAUGGUUUCAGAUUUUUGUUAUCAGUUUUCAUUUGUCUAUGCUUCAUCAAGUACUGGGUAGUCAUUAUUAUUUUCAACUUCUUCUCAGAAACUACUUGGCCUACAAUUAUAUUGAACCAAAAAAAAAACGUGAGGGAUUUAAAAAUUGAUUUGUGAAUUCCUUACUUCAACUUCCCAGGUAGUCAAUUUUUUUUUAACUUUUUCUCAGAAACUACUAAGCUGACAUGUCUAUGUAACCAAAAAAAAAAACCAUGAGGGAAUUAAAAAUUGAUUUUUGAAUUCCUAUCUUCAUCUCCCCGGCUGACACCUUUGCUUCCCUAUCAUGAAUUUUUAAAAAAAUUGAAUAUUCAUAUAUAUUUUUUAUUUAAUGAUUUGUAUUAAUUUGCAUUAUGACUAAUUAAAAAAUAAUUGGUUAGUGGAAAGCUGUCAUAACAAAACCCAGACCCCCCUCAACUCCUCUGCCAACUCUCCCCUUCUACCCAUAAAAUGUACUUUAAUCUGCUUACAUUUCUAAACUCUUACACAUUUUCUUUUAUCCAUUUUGAAAAUGCACAAAACUGGGCUUCUUUGGUUUUUAUAACACCCGUACCCCAAUAUUCAAUGUCUUGAAUGCUUUUAGAUUUGCCUUCUUAUGCAUAUAUUUCACAGUAUGACAUUGCUAUUAUUUAAUGCCUGUCUAUGGAUCUGACUCAGGUGAUCCUUAGGGCCUAUGGGCCUCUUGUAAAGGUUGUGUAAGUAUUAUAUAGAAAAUCAGAUUUCUUCCUUUCAAAUGUAUUAAUAAUGUUUAUUAUAAGAUAUAUAUUUACAAAUUACCAGUAGUCAUUAUUGUAAAACCCACAGUAAGUCUCUACAGGGCAUUAGAUACCAGUAAAGAUAUUAAAUUUAAAAAAAGAAAAGAAACAACCAUCAUAGGCAGCAGAGGGACUGAGAUUAGGUUGGAUCUCUAGUGUAGCACAGAUACAGGGCAUUUUGUAGGCUAGGAAUAACUGUGUCUGUGUGUCUGUUCUACUCCUCUAACAGUCCGCUAUCAGCUGCCGAGAGGUUAACUUGGCAUAGAGGUUAUAGAAGACUUGAUUGUGUGGCUAGUACUUUCCUUACUGCCAGUCCCAAAUGGACCAAUCAAAUUCUCAGUAACAUUUACUGUUGGAUGUACAUUUAUUGUCCAAGCAAUUUUCAUAUAUGUAUGACUUUUAAUUCCAUUUCAAGUAUUUUUAAUUUAGAGAUUUUUAUAUUAUAUAUUUUAUCUUGUAAAAAUAAACCACAUAUGAUAUACAUGUACUGUAGUAGCAUAUACCAUGUAUACUUCUGUCUGAACAAUGUGUUUAUCAAAGACAUGAUAUUGUGUGUUACUGUGUAACAAACUUGUCUUCCAGGUUGUUGAACACACAAAUUUCGCCGACGAACAAUGUCCUGAACAACUUCACACAGUCUCUUGUUCAAUUCUUUGGUUCUGGCCAUGCAGGGCAGCUUAUUACAAGUGUUCAAAUUACCUGAUUUCAAAUCAUUUGACAAAUAAAUUUUUUUUGGAAAG
rnacentral:misc_RNA from 1 species